AGUAAUCAUAAUUUAGCAACUCAUUUUAGUCAAGGUGCAAGAAAGUAUGAUGGCUCCACUGGGGCUCGAACCCAGGACCUUCUGCGUGUAAAGCAGACGUGAUAACCACUACACUAUGGAACCUAUAGGCAAGCAGUCACAUCUGUGAAUCACAGGUGCCUGUGUUUGGCUUGAUUUGGAACCAGACAAUUUCGGAGUUCCGCCUCUUCUUCAGUUCACUCACUGUCCUUCCUGUUGGACACAAACCCGGUGUGGUGUGAUGUUUGACUUUGUCCAGCCCAGUCCAACGGCGCCGCUUACACCUCAUGUGUUUUGCUUGAGACCUUCUGCUUGCAGCCAUUUGAAAGAUGGAGUUUUUCUCUCUCUCUCUCUCAUCACUGAGAGUCUCACUGGCCUGGAAACAUUAACCGUGUUUUCUGUCGACAUUUGCUGCCAGAGGUGUUGAUUUUUCACGAGCAAUUUCUUGUUGUUGUGAAUGCGUUUGGAAGGCUUGAGCUGGAAGUGAUGAAGUUAUUUUUUUGGAUUUCAGGAAGCAGUCUGCAAGCCAAACGCAGAGGAAGAAAAAAGAUGAGAGUGUGUGGAAUUGGUGCAGGAUCGGAGAUGUAUUGGUGCCGGUGAAAUGUGAUUGUGAACUCAUUGUGGGAAUAUGGGGAAGCAAUGAGAAAGGCAAUCUGUGCGACAAACUCAGACAGAAAAUACGAAAUCAAUGCAAUAUUCUCUACUAACCAGUAUCGCUGAUGGUAUUUCGCAAUCAGGGCCUCUUUACCUUCGUCCGUAAUGCAUCUGACUUUUAAUCAGAGGCUCCAGGGUUGAAGUCCGUGUUCGGGCACUGUCUUAAAAUCGGAUUGCUCAGUACUGUCUCUAAACAAUCAAUUCGUGACGUGAGAAAACCUGAUUUUUUUCAAGACUGUGUUCACCAAUGAAUAUCACUUCUCCAGCCUGAAUAUCUCAUUGGGGAGAGUGUUGGGCUUCGAAUCUGAGCGUCCCGUGUCGAAGAACCCGUUGAAAUGCUGUUUUUUGAGUCCCAGUUCUCCAAGCAAUCAAUCUUUGACAUGCUUUGAGUGUGAAAAAUGAAAAUUGCUCAGUAAACAACAGACUGGAUUUUUCGAACUCAAGCCACGAAUCACGCCCAUUGGUUAAUAUGUUAGGAAGCAACUUGCAAGUCAACCGCAGAGAAAGAAAAAGAUGAGAGAGUGUGGAACUGGUGCAGGAUCGGAGAUGUAUUGUUGCAGAUGUAAUGUGAUUGUGAACGCACUGUGGGAAUAGGGGAAACCAAUGAGAAAGGAAAAGUGUGCAAACAACCCACAAAGCCAAAAGUAGAUCAAUACACUGUUCUGUGCUCACCAGUGUGUGUCACUGCAAUCGCGUUUCAACCAGAGCCCGGAUAGCUCAGUCGGUAGAGCAUCAGACUUUUAAUCUGAGGGUCCAGGGUUCAAGUCCCUGUUCGGGCGUUGCUUUUAAAUAGGAGUUAUCAGUCUUGCGUCGAAAUAGUCAUCACAUGGUCGAAUGUGAUGUGUUUAAAGUCUCAAACGACAAAAUUGCGCAGAAACAGCAGGCUAACGAAAUUCGAACGUUUUCUUCGUACCGUCCACCUAACUCUGCCACAGAUUAAAAA